UAGGGAAUAUUGGACAAUGGGUGCGAGCCUGAUCCAGCCAUGCCGCGUGCAGGAAGACGGCCUUCUGGGUUGUAAACUGCUUUUGCCAGGGGAUAAAAAGUCCCUGCGGGGAAAAUUGAAGGUACCUGGUGAAUAAGCCACGGCUAACUACGUGCCAGCAGCCGCGGUAAUACGUAGGUGGCAAGCGUUGUCCGGAUUUAUUGGGUUUAAAGGGGGCGUAGGUUGUUUUGUAAGUCAGUGGUGAAAUCCGGCAGCUCAACUGUCGAUGUGCCAUUGAUACUGCAGAACUUGAGUACAGACGAGGUAGGCGGAAUUGACGGUGUAGCGGUGAAAUGCUUAGAUAUCGUCAAGAACACCGAUAGCGAAGGCAGCUUACUAGACUGUAACUGACACUGAUGCACGAAAGUGU
rnacentral:rRNA from 1 species